AUUGAACGCUGGCGGCAUGCUUUACACAUGCAAGUCGAACGGUAACAGGCCGCAAGGUGCUGACGAGUGGCGAACGGGUGAGUAAUGCAUCGGAACGUGCCCAGUCGUGGGGGUAAAUUCCUCGAAGAGUUGCUUAAAACGCAAUCCGAUCUAUGGAUGAAGGCGGGGGACGUAAAGGCCUGCCCCGAUGGGAGCGGCGAUGUCAGAUUAGGUAGUUGGUGGGGUAAAGGCUCACCAAGCCAACGAUCUGUAGCUGGUCUGAGAGGACAACCAGCCACACUGGGACUGAGACACGGCCCAGACUCCUACGGGAGGCAGCAGUGGGGAAUUUUGGACAAAGGGCGCAAGCCUGAUCCAGCAAUGCCGCGUGCAGGAAGAAGGCCUUCGGGUUGUAAACUGCUUUUGUACGGAACGAAACGGCUCUGGUUAAUACCCGGGGCUAAUGACGGUACCGUAAGAAUAAGCACCGGCUAACUACGUG
rnacentral:rRNA from 1 species